GUGUCAGCAGCCGCGGUAAAACGUAGGAAGCGAGCGUUAUCCGGAUUUACUGGGCGUAAAGCGUGUGUAGGCGGUUUGACAAGUUGGAUGUGAAAGCUCCUGGCUUAACUGGGAGAGGUCGUUCAAAACUGUCAGACUCGAGAGUGGGAGAGGGAGGUGGGAUUCCGGGUGUAGUGGUGAAAUGCGGAGUUAUCCGGAGGACCACCAGGGGCGAAAGCGGCCUCCUGGC
rnacentral:rRNA from 1 species